AAUCUGCACUUACAAGAUUUCUAUGAUGCUUUUUUCCACCAUUAGUUGCAUUCAGUUAAUCUUCAUUUGAUUAUAUUUGGAUACACCAAUUUGUUUGAUACUUUGGUAUGAUACAUAACGUAGAUGAUUCUGAGUGGUAUUAACAUCAAAUGUUAUAAUUAUAUAGCUUAAGGACAGAUUCAGUUGAAGCAUCCUUUUGUGAAGGUUUUAAUGUGUUGAAGUGGAACAAAGACCAAG